AGGCGGACGUUGACUGGUCAGUGUGCGGGUCCUUUGAAUGCUCCUGAGCGCCGGGCUCUCCCCACGCCUGCGCAGUGGGACGGGCGAGUUUGGCGCGGCUUGUGUGUGAGGCGCGGGUAGGUGGCGGCGUGGCCCGGAUUCCCUCAGGUGUUCCGAGGCAGCAUGGGCGGCGAUGCUCAGGUGGUCUGGGCGUUUCUCGGUGCUUUCCCCCGCGCCGCGUGGUCCUGCUGAAGAACGCCGGAAGGCCUAGGGUUCCCUCGGGCUGAUGAGCGGGCCUCGGCCUGUUCUCCGCGGAGUCGCGAACGGCUUCUUGGCUAUGAUGCGAGUCCCCGCUUUCCUGAGAGCUCCUAAUAAAAGCAGUUGUGCGUGUGUGUGUGUACGAGCAGUGCACAAGCGAUCCAUGUAAUGUCGGUGACCUCUCGCGACAACCUCAGACAUCCUUAGCUUCCCAUCAUGGCUCAGUGUCCCAGGAAAAUACAAUUCCUGUGGAUGAUCUCUGUUGAUAUCAGCCACCUGCUAUGCCUGGCAAGACACCUGUUGUUGUACCAAAAAGCUACCUCCUGGGGACUUAAAGAGCUUUUAUGUUUAUAUUUUGAGACAGCAUCUGUAAUGGCUAUUCCUGGUUGUCAACUUGACUAUAUCUGGAAUAAAAUACAAUCCAGAAUUGAAAGACUCACCUGUGAUCCUGAUCUUGAGGCUGGGAGAUAGAAGUUUCUGACCUGGAUCUUGGCAUGAAGAUCUUGAGGCAUAAUGGCUAUGAAUCCCAGGAGACUAAGGCAAGGAGAUCUCGGAGUUCAAGGUCAUCUGGGACAAAGCAAAUCCCACCAGAUCCAGAUGUGGUGGUACACAUCUUUAAUCUGGGCCACACUUUCUGCUGGAGACCUACAUAAGGACAUUGGAAGAUGGAAGAUUCACUCUUCUUUGCCUGCUUGCCUUGUGGAACUGAGCAACUACUAGAUCUUUGGGCUUCCACUCACAGCUGACCAUUGUUGGGGAGUUGGACUACAGACUGUAAGUCAUCAUAACAAAUUCUCUUACUGUAUAGAGACUACUCAUAAGUUCUGAGACUCUAGAGAACCCUGACUAAUACAGCAUCUCACUUGAUAGCCCUGAACCUGAGAUGCUCCUGCCUCAGCCUCUAGAAUGCUGAUAUUACAGGCACUGCUACCACACUGGUCUCCAACACUGUCUUUGUUGCUGGCCUAAAGGGCAUUCUGUAGACCCCUCCUCACCAUUAUGCAUUUCCACAUUUUGUCAGAACUUCUCUGGCUUCUUUCUCUUGACCUGAUUUCUCCCUUUCUCCUCCGUCAGCAUUCUUUUGUCCUGCACGGCUACUUGACAUUCCCCAUGUGUUGUCCUCUGCUUGGGUUUCCUUUCUUGCUUUUCUUUUUUUCUCUUAUGGUAAUACUGGGGAUUAAACCUAGGAUCUCAUCAUUGAAGACAAGCAUUUUGCCACUGAGCUACAAUCCCAGCCUUUCCCUCUAGGGACAGCUUCUUGGGUGACAGCUGAAGCCCCUUCACAGUGGCUCCACAUCCAUCUGACAGGGUUGCUCCAGUCUCUGAGUAGCCCAGCUGGUCUCUCCCUCCACAUGCAGCAUCUGCCACUGAACUUCCUCCACCCUCACACUGCCUUUUCACGCCCCAGUAAAUGAGACAGCAUCUUCCCUAGCCCAGAGCCAGGAGGAUGUAGUACACUACGACUGCUGUAGCAAAACACAACGGAGUAAUUGGGGGGAGUUUCGAGACAGGGUUUCUCUGUAUAGCCCUGGCUGUCCUGGAACUCACUCUGUUGACCAGGC